rnacentral:rRNA from 1 species
GAACGAGCACUUGUGCUUAGUGGCAAAUGGGUGAGUAACACGUACUUAAUCUACCCCCAAGUUUGGGAUAACAGUUGGAAACAAUUGCUAAUACCAAAUACAUAUAAGUUUUGCAUAAUUCUUAUAUAAAAGGAGCGUUUGUUUCGCUAGGGGAUGAGAGUGCGCUACAUUAGUUAGUUGGUAGGGUAAGAGCCUACCAAGACUAUGAUGUAUAGCGGGGCUGAGAAGCUGAACCGCCACACUGGGACUGAGAUACGGCCCAGACUCCUACGGGAGGCAGCAGUAGGGAAUAUUCCACAAUGAGCGAAAGCUUGAUGGAGCAACACAGCGUGCAGGAAGACGACCUUAGGGUUGUAAACUGCUGUUAUGAGGGAAGAAAAAUAAAAUUAGGAAAUGAAUUUUACAUGACGGUACCUCAUCAGAAAGCACCGGCAAACUAUGUGCCAGCAGCCGCGGUAAUACAUAGGGUGCAAGCGUUAUCCGGAAUUAUUGGGCGUAUAGUGUCUGUAGGUGGUAUGUUAAGUCUAGUGUUAAAGACUAGGGCCCAACCCUAGCACG